UACGUAGGUCCCGAGCGUUGUCCGGAUUUAUUGGGCGUAAAGCGAGCGCAGGUGGUUUAUUAAGUCUGGUGUAAAAGGCAGUGGCUCAACCAUUGUAAGCAUUGGAAACUGGUAGACUUGAGUGCAGGAGAGGAGAGUGGAAUUCCAUGUGUAGCGGUGAAAUGCGUAGAUAUAUGGAGGAACACCGGUGGCGAAAGCGGCUCUCUGGCCUGUAACUGACACUGAGGCUCGAAAGCGUGGGGAGCAAACAGG
rnacentral:rRNA from 1 species